GGGGGUGAUCGGUUUCGACUGCGGCUGUCGUUGCAGGAGAAGCGGGCCGAGGACGCGGGGAUGAUCUCGUUAACCAUGCCUCGCAAAAAAAUAAGCGCCAAGGUUUCUAACCAGCGCGAUCUCGUUCUCGCCGCCUAGGCGGUAGAACACUAGGAGAUCUGUCAGCCCGGGGAGUGUCAUCGACCCGGUGUCUGGCAUCAGCUAGAUGACUAACCCGCCGCCCGGGUCACGAGGGCGGCGGGGACACCAAACAGUGACUGGGCCUGUCGGGACGCUUGUCUGCGUGACGUCCCGAGGCCGAGAAAAUCAACUGCAGACUGCGCCCGGAGAAUGCCUGGUUCGGUGCCGUAGGACGCGGGUUCAAUUCCCGCCACCUCCACCA
rnacentral:tmRNA from 1 species